UACGUAGGGUGCAAGCGUUGUCCGGAAUUAUUGGGCGUAAAGAGCUUGUAGGCGGUCUGUCGCGUCUGCUGUGAAAAUCCGGGGCUCAACCCCGGACUUGCAGCGGGUACGGGCAGACUAGAGUGUGGUAGGGGAGACUGGAAUUCCUGGUGUAGCGGUGAAAUGCGCAGAUAUCAGGAGGAACACCGGUGGCGAAGGCGGGACUCUGGGCCGAUACUGACGCUGAGGAGCGAAAGCGUGGGGAGCAAACAGG
rnacentral:rRNA from 1 species